rnacentral:rRNA from 1 species
AGUAACGGCGAGUGAAGCGGCAACAGCUCAAAUUUGAAAUCUGGCUCUUUCAGAGUCCGAGUUGUAAUUUGCAGAGGGCGCUUUGGCUUUGGCAGCGGUCCAAGUUCCUUGGAACAGGACGUCACAGAGGGUGAGAAUCCCGUACGUGGUCGCUAGCUAUUGCCGUGUAAAGCCCCUUCGACGAGUCGAGUUGUUUGGGAAUGCAGCUCUAAAUGGGAGGUAAAUUUCUUCUAAAGCUAAAUAUUGGCCAGAGACCGAUAGCGCACAAGUAGAGUGAUCGAAAGAUGAAAAGCACUUUGGAAAGAGAGUCAAACAGCACGUGAAAUUGUUGAAAGGGAAGCGCUUGCAGCCAGACUUGCUUGCAGUUGCUCAUCCGGGCUUUUGCCCGGUGCACUCUUCUGCAGGCAGGCCAGCAUCAGUUUGGGCGGUGGGAUAAAGGUCUCUGUCACGUACCUCUCUUCGGGGAGGACUUAUAGGGGAGGCGACAUACCACCAGCCUGGACUGAGGUCCGCGCAUCUGCUAGGAUGCUGGCGUAAUGGCUGUAAGCGGCCCGUCUUGAAACACGGACCAAGGAGUCUAACAUCUAUGCGAGUGUUUGGGUGUCAAGCCCGAGCGCGUAAUGAAAGUGAACGGAGGUGGGAACCCGCAAGGGCGCACCAUCGACCGAUCCUGAAGUUUACGGAAGGAUUUGAGUAAGAGCAUGGCUGUUGGGACCCGAAAGAUGGUGAACUAUGCUUGAAUAGGGUGAAGCCAGAGGAAACUCUGGUGGAGGCUCGCAGCGGUUCUGACGUGCAAAUCGAUCGUCAAA